rnacentral:rRNA from 1 species
GAUGAACGCUGGCGGCGUGCCUAAUACAUGCAAGUCGAGCGAACAGACGAGGAGCUUGCUCCUCUGACGUUAGCGGCGGACGGGUGAGUAACACGUGUAUAACCUACCUAUAAGACUGGGAUAACUUCGGGAAACCGGAGCUAAUACCGGAUAAUAUAUUGAACCGCAUGGUUCAAUAGUGAAAGACGGUUUUGCUGUCACUUAUAGAUGGAUCCGCGCCGCAUUAGCUAGUUGGUAAGGUAACGGCUUACCAAGGCAACGAUGCGUAGCCGACCUGAGAGGGUGAUCGGCCACACGGGAACUGAGACACGGUCCAGACUCCUACGGGAGGCAGCAGUAGGGAAUCUUCCGCAAUGGGCGAAAGCCUGACGGAGCAACGCCGCGUGAGUGAUGAAGGUCUUCGGAUCGUAAAACUCUGUUAUUAGGGAAGAACAAAUGUGUAAGUAACUAUGCACGUCUUGACGGUACCUAAUCAGAAAGCCACGGCUAACUACGUG